rnacentral:sRNA from 1 species
CUGCUGCGGGCAGAUGAAGUGGACAUGGCUGUCGAUGCCGCCCGCUGUGACAAUGAGCCCUUCUCCCGAGAUUACCUCGGUGCCGGCGCCGAUGUAAAACGUGACGCCGUCCUGGAUGUCAGGAUUGCCGGCGCUGCCGAUGGCGGCGAUGUAGCCGUCCUUGAUGCCGAUGUCCGCCUUGUAGAUGCCGGUAUAGUCAACAAUCAGAGCAUUGGUGAUAACGGUGUCGACUGUCUCCGUGCAGGAAAGCUGAGACUGCCCCUGGCCGUCACG